rnacentral:rRNA from 1 species
CAUGCAAGUCGAGGGGUAACAGGGAGCUUGCUCCGCUGACGACCGGCGCACGGGUGCGUAACGCGUAUAGAAUCUGCCUUACACUGAGGGAUAGCCUUUGGAAACGAAGAUUAAUACCUCAUAGUAUCAUUUUAUGGCAUCAUAGAGUGAUUAAAGGUUACGGUGUAAGAUGACUAUGCGUCCUAUUAGCUUGUUGGUAAGGUAACGGCUUACCAAGGCUACGAUAGGUAGGGGCCCUGAGAGGGGGAUCCCCCACACUGGUACUGAGACACGGACCAGACUCCUACGGGAGGCAGCAGUGAGGAAUAUUGGACAAUGGAGGCAACUCUGAUCCAGCCAUGCCGCGUGAAGGAUGACUGCCCUAUGGGUUGUAAACUUCUUUUAUACAGGGAGAAACACUGGUACGUGUACCAGUUUGACGGUACUGUAUGAAUAAGCACCGGCUAACUCCGUGCCAGCAGCCGCGGUAAUACGGAGGGUGCAAGCGUUAUCCGGAAUCAUUGGGUUUAAAGGGUCCGUAGGCGGACUAAUAAGUCAGAGGUGAAAUCCCGCAGCUCAACUGUGGAACUGCCUUUGAAACUGUUAGUCUUGAGUUAUUGUGAAGUGGUUAGAAUAUGUAGUGUAGCGGUGAAAUGCUUAGAGAUUACAUG